rnacentral:rRNA from 1 species
CCAGACUCCUACGGGAGGCAGCAGUGGGGAAUAUUGGACAAUGGGGGGAACCCUGAUCCAGCGACGCCGCGUGAGUGAAGAAGUAUUUCGGUAUGUAAAGCUCUAUCAGCAGGGAAGAAAAUGACGGUACCUGACUAAGAAGCCCCGGCUGACUACGUGCCAGCAGCCGCGGUAAUACGGAGGAUGCGAGCGUUAUCCGGAUUUAUUGGGUUUAAAGGGUGCGUAGGCGGACUGUUAAGUCAGCGGUAAAAGCCGGGGGCUCAACCCCGGCGAGCCGUUGAAACUGGCUGUCUUGAGAUGUCGAGAGGUAUGCGGAAUGCGCAGUGUAGCGGUGAAAUGCAUAGAUACCACGCAGAACUCCGAUUGCGAAGGCAGCAUACCGGCGCUCAACUGACGCUCAUGCACGAAAGCGUGGGUAUCGAACAGGAUUAGAUACCCUUGUA